UACGUAGGGGGCAAGCGUUGGUCCGGAAUCAUUGGGCGUAAAGCGCGUGUAGGCGGUCCGGUAAGUCCGCUGUGAAAGUCGGGGGCUUAACCCUCGGAUGCCGGUGGAUACUGUCGGGCUUGAGUACGGAAGAGGCGAGUGGAAUUCCUGGUGUAGCGGUGAAAUGCGCAGAUAUCAGGAGGAACACCAAUUGCGAAGGCAGCUCGCUGGGACGUUACUGACGCUGAGACGCGAAAGCGUGGGGAGCAAACAGG
rnacentral:rRNA from 1 species